UACAGAGGUCCCGAGCGUUGUUCGGAUUCAUUGGGCGUAAAGGGGUGCGUAGGCGGGUUGGUAAGUCCGUGGUGAAAUCUCCAAGCUUAACUUGGAAACUGCCGUGGAUACUAUCAAUCUUGAAUAUCGUGGAGGUAAGCGGAAUAUGUCAUGUAGCGGUGAAAUGCUUAGAUAUGACAUAGAACACCAAUUGCGUAGGCAGCUUACUACACGAUCAUUUGACGCUGAGGCACGAAAAGCGUGGGGGAGCAAAA
rnacentral:rRNA from 1 species